CAAGAAUAUUAGUCAUGCUCGCAAGAGUGAACUAGCUUAACUGAAAUCAUUUUUAUAGAAAUAUAGGUAAUCUUUGUUAAAUCAUUACAAACAUUAAUCUCAUUCUUCAUGGAGGUGGGAAAGUGAUAACAAAAGGGAGAAUCAUGAUGUUACCUUUUUAUUAGUGUUGUCCAAAGCUGGUGCCAGAAGACUCGGUAAGGCCAGAAACGCGAACGUUAGUCACAUUAACCAGGCGUAAAGAGUGGGCAGGCAGCUUAGAAAUUUUUAUUUUUAGUAAGCUAAUUAAAAAAUUAAACCUUUUUGAUUUAAAAAUAAAAAUGUAUAUAAGAUAGAAUCAUAUUGAGGAUAAGCCGAAUAAUGCCUAGUGUAAGGAUGCAAUCUAUUGAGAUUAGGUAGAAUACUAAUGGUGAAAGCUUUUUAUCUAUUAAUGAUUGACGCUCAGAAACGAAGGUGGGGAUAGGAAAUAGGAUUAGAGACCCAGGUACCCCCCACAGUCAACGAUGAAUGGUAGGUGUUAGUUUUAUAUUAAACUAGUUCCGAUGUUAACGCGAUAACCAUUCCGCCUUGAGAGUACGGUUGCAAAACUGAAACCAAAAAAAUUAGUCGGUCUCGAAGCAAACGAAGUGAACAUGGUAUUUAAUUCGA
rnacentral:rRNA from 1 species